rnacentral:lncRNA from 1 species
CUUCUUGGCCGCAACCCCGCAACAGAGAACAAACCACCAUGAACAAACCACCAUUGAUUCUUCUUCCAUUAACAUCUAUUGAUUCUUCUUCCAUUAAUAUAUUGAUUCUUCUUCCAUUAACAUCUAUUGAUUCUUCUUCUUCUUAAAUCCACCAUUAACAUCUGUUAUUGCUGCUUCUACAAAACUUCAACUUGAUAAGGUAUGAUAAUCAUUCUUCUUCUUCUUCUUCUUAAAUCUACCAUUAACAUCUGUUGUUGCUGCUGUUUCAAUUAGAAAUCUUAAAAUCAUUCUCUUAAUUUAGUUAAGUUAAUCAAAAUCACUGUGUUUUAAUUUAGUUUCAUUCUUUUAAUUUAGAAAUUUCUUUUUAUUUAUUUUUGCGUUGAAUUCUUUGAUUUAAUUAAAUUACACUUGUUUAAUGAUCGAUAACGAGAGUUCUGAUUGAAAUCUUCUCUAUAUAAUCUGAUUUAAUUUAACAUCAAAAAUCUCCUCUAUAUAAUCUGAUUUAGUGAUCGAUAACGAGCGUAUCUAAUUCUUGAACACCGAUUUGUAGCAGUUCAGCUCCAUUACCAUGCCUAAUUGAUAGGACAUCUUGUUUAAAAGUCUUGCUUUCGGUUGGGUACAGAUUAGACACUUAGCUAAAAUCUCUGUAUUCUAACUUCUAAGAAAAAUGUAUCAUUCUCUUGCUUUUAUAUAUCAGGAAGACUUCUUUAGGUUGGAAACAACAUAAAUAAAUAUUAGGGGAAGAUGUUCUUUCAUUUUUAAAUCUACCCUUUCUACAUAUUCCUUCCUUUUUUUUUCCAGCAAAUGUUCAAUGAUAUAAUGUUGUUGUUAUUACAUAGCUUGCUAGUUUGUAUUGUCAGCAAAUUAGAAGAUUCACGCAUGUGUUGAGAGUUUUCCUUUUAUGUAUAUUUGUUUGACGUAAACUUCUGGUAUACUAACUCAUCAUAUUAGGCUAAUAGGCAUCAGGAUUCAACCCCACCUAUGUUAUUGAUUAAUCAAAUCUAGCCCACUAAUUUGACAUUUUGUUCACUAAAUAAAUUAACCUUACUGUACUAGGUGGGGUUCUAUAAAAUAAAACUGAACAAUCUUUUUUAUUUGAGUACUUCCGUAGAAGAGGUAAUACAACUCUACCUAUAAAAUGUCUACACUCAGUCACAUUUCAGUUUGCUCCUCUGUAAUUAGCCUGUCUGCACUGUUAGUUGUAUCUUGUAUAGUUGUAUGUAUGUAGGAAUUAGGAUUGAUUAUUAGCUACUACCUGGUGUUGCUUCAACUCUCAACAAUUAUAAUUUUUGAGAUACCAUACGUCCAUACCGUCAUCAUGCCCACUUAGUUCAGUUACUCCUCUGACCUCCUUUUGUUUUGUUUUGUUUUUUUAACAAAUUGUCUCAUGUGUUGUGCUAUGCUCUUAACUCUAUUAUUAACAAAUAUUAUAUAAUGCAGUUAAAUAUUACUCUACUAGUUAUUCACCAUUUGACCUCACCCCUUCAUUCAUUCAACAUACUGUACUGUGUUUUUGAAAAUUCAAAUCAACAUACAGAGGUCACAACACACUUCUCUUAAUUAAUUCUUCUUGUUUCCUAAUCAAGUAUCCUAGCAAUUUAGCUUACAGUAUUGUUGAACAUGGCCACUUGCUAACUUGUAACUUAUAUUUUUUGUCAGGCCUGUUUGAUUAUUUAGUAGAGAAAAUGGGAUCUAUAGAAACCAACUAAAUUCUUGUUGUUGAUGAUGGACUGGUUCAGAGAAGGUGAUCAUGGACUCAUGGUGUUGAAGUGAAGUUCUUUGUUGAACAAGCAUAGAUUAUGUUCUGAUCCCCUGAACAAGCAGAAUGUGCUUUAUAACUUUAAUUGUUUUUAACUUUUGUGAGGCUUUUAUUGUGUGAAAUUUUAUGUCGCAAAACCGCCUAAACGGUUUAAUUGGGACUAAACAGCUUUAAUUUGUAAUUUUAUUAUGUGAUUUAGUAAUUUUUAUGUCAUUAAACAGUUUCUGAACUUCUGAUUAUGCUUAAAUUUUGUGAACUGUUA